ACGUGAUCGUCCCCUGAUGUAAAACUAGGUAGGCCGUUCUUGUUAGAUAAGAUGUAAAGUGCAUAUAUUCCUAUAUAUACACAACUAUAUGUAGCCUUCAUUUGACAAUUGUGUGGUGUAGUUUUCCUGGCACGUACAGUAUGAAGAAUCUCUUGCUGCUUUUCCUCGUCGGAAUGGCUGCUGCUGCAGUCACCGCCAACGAAUGUAUCUCGUUUAACGACUGUACAGAGCCCUGUCCUAACACCAACCAGUUCGCAAUAUGUCAGUACGUAUCUGGACACAACCAGUGUGUUUGCAUCACCAUCACCGGAAAAAAAAGAAGGUGAUCCGAUUUUGCCGCCACUAUAGAAUGUAAUGAAUUUGUAUUCAAAUAAAUGUCUCCACUGUAAUCACAAA